CGGAUUUCUGGGUAUUGUACGUUUAUAGUUAUUUUCCAUCUUAAACUAAUAAUAAUAAAAAAAUAAAGAUUGAUAAAGGUCCAGUUGUUUAGCAUGCAUGUGAAUGGACCAUACUGCUUUUUGAUCUUUAAGCCUUAUCAAGAUGAUGAAUUAUUGAAGUGUAGUGGACGAAGAGAAGAUGAUAAAGCAGCAGUCCGUUCAUGAGUACUCACAGUGGGUUGCACAGAAUCUUUACUUUUUGCUUGCUUUUUAGUGUUCACAUUGACUAUGACUACACAAUGGAAUGCAACUUCCCCCUAAAUUUCCAAAUAGUCAUAUUCUUCGUAGAGUUUUGAAUCAUAUCAAUUCGUUCUCUUGUUGUUGUUAUUUAUAUAUUCUUCAGUCUCCAUUCACCUCUCCCGCUUUACUCAGCUGAGUUUCUUCUCCUACAAAGUUGACAAAAACAAAAAGAACCAAGUUUUUAUUAGUAAAUCGCCACUAUUAGCUUCCGCCUACUACAUAUAUUGAUGGUACUUAUCAACUGAUACCAUCAACAAAAUUUGUAAAGGAACAAUGCCUAGUACUUCUGAAACCACUCUUGUUAAGCUUAUGGAAUAUCAGGCACAGACUCUAAAGCAAAUAUUAGAGAUUUUAACAAGUAUGAACAGUGGAAUUCCAGUACAAAAUCAAAAUAGUCCAAAUAACCAAAUAAUGCCUUUUAAUUGUAACCACAAUGAUCAAACUGAAGCAAAAAAGGAUGGUCAAGUUGAAAACCCUGCAUCAAUCUGUCAACCACAAGAUGACGGUUUUGCGGAAGGGGGUGUAUGAAAUAUAACAAGCUAUGGUGAUGUUUGAGAAGAAGCUUAAAUUCAAAAAACAAACAACAACAACAGUUAUGGCCGCUGGAGAUGCAGCUACAAGUCAUUGAGGUUGUAGACAUCAAGGAUGAGAGAGAUUGGGGGAAAUAUCUCAUCAACUUGAUGAGUUGUUGAGCUAUGUUUUUUUGGCAGAAUUUUCUCUGCCGCCAGGUUUUACAUUACAACAAGAUAUGUAAUGCCACUAUUUAAGGAUUCAUACUUUUUAACGCCACUUUACUGUUCAAUGCCACUAUACAUUACAAAAGAAAUUUGAGUUUGUGCAUCAGGUUUUACAGUAGAUGAUGUACUGCCUGUAUUCAAGGUUUCCAAUAUUUUUUUGUUAACCUUUUCCUAGCCCUGCCUUUGUAGUAGGAUUUACGAGUCCUGUACUUUGGAAGAUUAUUGUAUAUACUUUGUUUAUCAAAAUAAAAAGAUUUUAUUGGGAAAUA